rnacentral:rRNA from 1 species
AUUGAACGCUGGCGGCAGGCCUAACACAUGCAAGUCGAGCGGAUGAAGGGAGCUUGCUCCUGGAUUCAGCGGGGGACGGGUGAGUAAUGCCUAGGAAUCUGCCUGGUAGUGGGGGAUAACGUCCGGAAACGGGCGCUAAUACCGCAUACGUCCUGAGGGAGAAAGUGGGGGAUCUUCGGACCUCACGCUAUCAGAUGAGCCUAGGUCGGAUUAGCUAGUUGGUGGGGUAAAGGCCUACCAAGGCGACGAUCCGUAACUGGUCUGAGAGGAUGAUCAGUCACACUGGAACUGAGACACGGUCCAGACUCCUACGGGAGGCAGCAGUGGGGAAUAUUGGACAAUGGGCGAAAGCCUGAUCCAGCCAUGCCGCGUGUGUGAAGAAGGUCUUCGGAUUGUAAAGCACUUUAAGUUGGGAGGAAGGGCAGUAAGUUAAUACCUUGCUGUUUUGACGUUACCAACAGAAUAAGCACCGGCUAACUUCGUG